AGCGAGAUUCCCGUUCCAAACCAGCCGCAACUGCGCACAGCCACAAGUGUCUCCUCGCCUCCCGCCUUGAUCCGCCCUUCCCGUUUCCGGCGGCCUCUCCGCCCCAGUCCCGACUCCCGACCGAUGUCCACUCAGUCCAUCUCGCCCGCCUCCGCUCACCUCACUUACCCUGCUACCGGUGCGGCGGCGGCGGCCACGUCCUACUUCCCCGUCCCUUUCCACCUACAGGCCGCGCAGUACUCGACGGCGACCCCCGCGCCGGCGCCGCUUUACAACGCCGUCUACCCCGUGCCCCAAAUCCAGCAGGCACAACAACUCUUCCAGAAAGACUCGCAGAUAAUCACCCCUGAAGCUCUAUCUACUGUAAAGGCUGCUAUUGCGGGUAAUGACAAAGACAAGAAAGUUGAAGCAAAGAAAAAGGCAGUACCCCGGAAGGCAGCUGGGCAAUGUUGGGAGGAUCCAACAUUAGCUGAAUGGCCUGAAAAUGACUUCCGUUUGUUUUGUGGCAAUCUUGGUAAUGAAGUGAAUGAUGAUGUUCUUGCCAAGGCGUUUUCAAAGUAUCCAUCGUUCAACAUGGCUAGGGUUAUACGAGAUAAAUCUACUGGUAAGACUAAGGGCUAUGGCUUUGCUAGUUUUGCCAAUUCAACAGACCUUUCUGCGGCGCUGAAAGAGAUGAACGGUAAAUAUGUUGGAAAUCGACCAAUCAAACUACAGAAGAGUACGUGGAAGAAUAGAAUAGAUUAUGAAGCUCUGCAGAAACCAAAGGCUGGACCACAGAAGAAGCUCAAAGCUCAGAAAAGAAGUGUCCUACACAAGUGAAGAAAAUAAUUAUCCUAGUUUGUCCUCCAGAAUGUUGUCAUGCUGGCCAUGAAGUUCAUGAUUGUAAUGUAGGUGUAAAUAUUCAAAUGACAACCACCGUUUGUGAACAUUAUGAAGUGCUCGUGGUGAUCUCUGAUGUCGAUGAAUGAUUUUCAUCUUUGUAAAAAUAUUAUCAAGUGCUCUUUUGGUUUCACUGAGU